rnacentral:rRNA from 1 species
GACGAACGCUGGCGGCGUGCUUAACACAUGCAAGUCGAACGGUGAAGCGCCUUCCUUUUUGGUGGGUGUGGAUGAGUGGCGAACGGGUGAGUAACACGUGAGUAACCUGCCCCCUUCUUCUGGAUAACCGCAUGAAAGUGUGGCUAAUACGGGAUAUUCUGGGUCUGUCGCAUGAUGGGUCUGGGAAAGAUCUUGUUUCGGUGGGGGAUGGGCUCGCGGCCUAUCAGCUUGUUGGUGGGGUGAUGGCCUACCAAGGCGGUGACGGGUAGCCGGCCUGAGAGGGUGGACGGUCACACUGGGACUGAGACACGGCCCAGACUCCGACGGGAGGCAGCAGUGGGGAAUAGUGCACAAUGGGCGCAAGCCUGAUGCAGCGACGCCGCGUGAGGGAUGGAGGCCUGCGGGUUGUGAACCUCUUUCGCCAGUGAAGCAGGCCUGCCUCGUUUGUGGGUGGGUUGACGGUAGCUGGAGAAGAAGCGCCGGCUAACUACGUG